GUUUCUACGCUGCUAUCGCGGGCGAGCUCCUCUAGAGCGUGUGUGCGAGCGUGUGUGUGUGAGCGUGUGUGUGUCUGCUCUGCUGUUGCUGCCCUCUGAUCCCUGCAUUAGUGUUAGUUAGGGGCUCGGAGACACACUUACACAGAGAGCAGCCAUAGUCAAGACACGGCAACAACAACAGCACAGAACCCUCCUCCUCCUGUGGUCCUAUACCCAACAAUACACUUUAAACCGCGAGGACAAGACAGGUAUACAGUCCCUGCCAUCACUCUCGCCUACAAUCUCAAUGGGAAAAAACAUGUUUUCUUCUUAUCCCUAAAACAAGGAGGAGAAUGUGACAAAAAGGGGGAAAAUGCCAAGGAGGAAGCAGGAGCAACCCAAACGCCUGCCUUCACAUGUGGACAGCGUCGAGGAGGGUGGGCCCGACGGGGGCUGCUGUCCCGUGGAGGACGACGGCGGCGUUGGCGGCGGUGGCUGGUACGGGAACGCCUCCGACACGCGCUCCGAGUCGUCGUACAGCGGUGACAUCCAUGACGACCAUGAGCUGUUCCUCCACGGGGGCUCCCCCCCCACCCCCUCCCCAGACCGACCUCCAGAACACCCCGACACCUCGACCGAGAGCUCCCUGGGGGGCUGCCCUACGCCUGUCCACAACCACCACCGGGCCUCCCUUGAACUCCUGAGCCUAGGGGUGGACGGAGGGGUGUUCUCUGCCCAAGAUACCCUUUCCUCCGUGGUAUCCUCGCUCUAUGGAGAGGCUGCCUCCGAGGCCCUGGGGAAACCCCUGAGUAGUAACCUGCGGCGCCUCCUAGAGGCUGGGUCGUUGAAGCUGGAUGGGGAACUUCUGGGGAGAGUGAGAGGAGGGGGAGGAGAGUCGCCCCCUAUAGGCUUAGCUCCAGCCCUGACCCUCUCCCCCUCCUCCCAUCAUGCUCAGCAGCUAAGUGCCCUCGCCCGAAAACUGGCGGCCAAUAACAACAACAACAACAGCGGAGGCUCCGCCUCAGCCUCGCCUGCCUCUGUUACCAUGUCGACUACUGCCAUCAAGCAGGAGCCCUGCGACCCCUUCGCCUCGGUGGCCGCCCCGAGCAACGGUGCUGGCUUCGUGUGGGUGGGAGUGGCAGGUGACGGGAAGUGGCCCCCGGCGGGUUGCUCCGCCUCCAGCGGCGGGUCCAGCCUAUCACCUGACUCGGCCAUCCAGAAGCUGAAAGCGGCAGCCAACGCGGUUUUACAGGACAAGAAUGCCACCGUAGUGGCCUCGUCUACUUCCUCUUCAUCAUCCUCCUGCUCUACCAUACCCACCCUGGGAGGAGGGAGCCGGGGAGGAACAGACGACUCGGUACGCUUCGAUGCCUUCACCUCCCCCUUCAGCCCUCAGUCGGCCAGUUCCACGCUAGCCGCCCUGUCCAAGAAGGUGAGCGAGCGCUCCCAGACCACCUCCACCCCCUCAUCAUCAGACCACCAACACCAACCCUCCACCGGCUCCUCCUUCCUCUCCCUGGUCUCUAUGACUUCCUCGGCUGCGCUCCUCAAGGAGGUGGCAGCCCGGGCGGCAGGGAACCUCCUUGCUGAUAAGAUGGAGGCCACAGCAGGAGGAGGGGCCAUCCAGGAGGACAUCAAGCCCCUGCUGGACAGGAACCAGAAGGCAGGGACCCCCACAGGGCCCCAGAGCGCCAUGGACCUGCUGCUGCCCUCCACCCCUAAGGGAAGGGCCAAACCCAGCAGCCAAGCAGGUUCCCCGGGGGAGGACGGAGGGAAGCCGUUCCAGUGUCCGGUGUGUGGCCUGGUCAUCAAGAGGAAGAGCUACUGGAAGAGACACAUGGUGAUCCACACCGGCCUGAAGAGUCACCAGUGUCCCCUGUGCCCCUUCCGCUGCGCCCGCAAAGACAAUCUCAAGUCCCACAUGAAGGUCCACCAGCAUCAAGACCGGGGCGAGACGUUCCAGUGCGAACUUUGCCCUUUCACCUCCUCGCGCCACUUCAGCCUCAAGCUCCACAUGCGCUGCCACCAGCACUUCCCCCGCUCUGGGUCCGCCUCCGACGGGGUCAAGGUCAAGGAAGAGGCCACCACGGACACGGAGGGCGAGGGGUCACUCCUGGGCGAUUUCAACCCCGGGGAAUCCCCCCUCCAGUCGGACGCAGGGAACCAGAGCUCCCCUGGAGUCUCCAACCACCACGUCUAUAUAAAAGAAGAGCCCCAGGAGAGGGAGCUGUCGGUGCUGUCGCCCUUCACCCUUUGCAGGGACAGGGAGCGGGAGCGGCCUGGUAGCAGUGGCAACUCCCUGGACCUCUCUAUGGGGGGAGUCGGCUUGGGGGUGGGGGUGCGGUCCAGUCCUGGUGGAGGUCCAACGGCAGCGUCCCUCUUCAGCCCGGACAUCACCACCAAGACAGCCACCGAUCUGCUCAUGAAGCUCUCAGCGGCCAACCAGAAGGAAGCCCUGAAGGCUCCACAGUCCUUCCAUCUGAAGCAGGAACCCCGGGCAGAGGAAGAUGAGGAAGAGGUGCGGAGAAGCCCCCGGAGCCAGCCCAGCUACUCCUCCUUCUACCAGGAGCAGGGCGUGGCGCUGGGGGCCACAGGGCCAGCAGAGGUCACAACAGACAGUGGGGACCACAGGGGGACCCUGAAGGGACGCGAGGGAAGCCCCAUGGGGAACAAGAACAGUCUCCUCAGCCAGGACAUCAACUUCAAGGUGGCGUCGGAGCUGCUGAUGAAGCUAUCAGAAAGCAACAAGGACGCGGCCCACUACCAGAAGGUGACGGUGAAGGCGGAGCCUAUGGAGGUGGACCCGGCCAGUGGCCCGGCCCCGCCCCCUACUCACCUGCUGGCCUUCAGCACUUUAGGGGUGUGUGAGAAGAGCGAGCCAAUGACCAGCCUCCCUGAAGCGUUGUCCCGCCCCCAGAAGCAAGACCUCUUCUCCCAGGACAUAUCAGUGAAAAUGGCCUCCGAGCUCCUCUUCCAACUCUCAGAAAAAGUCAGCAAAGCCAACGACCACAAAGACGGCAACAUGGUGGGCAUAAGCAGGUAAGACAGCAACAUGGUGGGCAUAAGCAGGUAAGACAGCAACAUGGUGGGCAUAAGCAGGUAAGACAGCAACAUGGUGGGCAUAAGCAGGUAAGACAGCAACAUGGUGGGCAUAAGCAGGUAAGACAGCAACAUGGUGGGCAUAAGCAGGUAAGACAGCAACAUGGUGGGCAUAAGCAGGUAAGACAGCAACAUGGUGGGCAUAAGCAGGUAAAACAGCAACAUGGUGGGCAUAAGCAGGUAAGACAGCAACAUGGUGGGCAUAAGCAGGUAAGACAGCAACAUGGUGGGCAUAAGCAGGUAAGACAGCAACAUGGUGGGCAUAAGCAGCCCCUUCAUGGACGAGCGUUUCAGACAAUCCCCCUUCAGCCAGCGCUCCAAGUCCUCCUCCCCCGCAGAGGCCAGCUCCUCUGCUAGGACAGCCCUCCACG